AAUGAUUCAAUUUCAUGCAUUUCGCUUUGCGGCUAUGGGGAUGCUUAUUAGUUGCAAUUUGCCAGCUGCGGCCAAAGUUUGCUCUAUCCGAAAACCAACAGCAAACCCCAGAAACUAAACCAAAUAAAUUUAAUAAUUGCCAUCCUGAGAAGUUGAUAGAAUGGGUAAAAACAAAGGAGGUGGCGGCGGAGGAGGAGGAGGAGGAGGUGGUGGAGGGGGCGGAGGAGGCGGCGGCGGCAAUGUAAGCAAUAUUUGUGUUAUGCAACUUGCGUACUAAUUAAAAAAGGAGGCGGUGGCGGAGGAGGCGGCGCAGGCGGAUCCGGAAAUAAAAACAAAGGCGGCGAUGGAGGCGGCGGUGACAAAGGUGGAGCCAAGAAAGGACAGGACCAAAAGGCAGCCGCAGGCGGUGGCAAAAAAGGAGGCAAGAAAUAGCAACGGUGGCAACAUCAAAGCGCAUUAAAAAUUACAAAUUUAGAGUUAAGUUGAAAUUAAAAGUGAUAUCAGGGUUUAUGUAUCCAUAAUGUA